ACCCGAGCCUGCGCCGCGCGCCGCGCGCCUCGCCGCCCGCCUCGGCUCCGCUGCUCCUGCGCCUUUCGCGGGCCCGCGAGCGCGCUUUGGGCCUUCCACGCAGUGCGGCCUGCGCGUCAGGGACUUCUUUGCGGCUUAGGAGGAUGUUGGAUUGUUUUUCCUGGGCACGUCUAGACAGGUCACAUGAGGACACUCGCUGGAAAAUAGUUACUUCGCUCACGCAGCAGCCAACAAGGGACGUGCCCUAAUUGAGUGAUUGGAAUGAAAGAUGAAUACAAUUUGAAUAAUUUUUUCCUGUGCAGAGAGAAGCUGAGUUUUAUUUGCCUGUGGAUGUGUCCUCAGUAUGUAACAAGGUGCUGUGACACGGAAGAAUCACAUAAAGAGAUGGUGUCUCACUCUGUCUGUCAGGCUGGACUGCAGCCUCAGUCUCCUGGGCUCAAGCAAUUCUCCAGCCUCAACCUCCGGAGUAGGUGGGACUAUAUGCGUGUGCUACCGUGCCCGGCUAAUUUUUUCAUUUUUAGUAAGAGAUGAGGGCUUGCUGUGUUGCCCAGGCUGAUCUUGAACUCCUGAACUUAAGUGAUCCUCCCACCUCGGCCUCCCAAAGUACUGGAAUUACAAGCAUGAGCCACCUUGUCUAUUUUCUUUUUGUUGUUGUUAAUUUGUGUGUGUGUGUGUGUGUGAGAUGGGAGUCUCACUCUGUCGCUGAGGCUGGAGUGCAAUGGCGUGAUCUCAGCUCACCACAACCUCCGCCUCUCGGGUUCAAGCGAUUCUCCUGCCUCAGCCUCCCGAGCAGCAGGGACCACAGGCAUGCGCCACCACGCUAGGCUAAUUUUGUAUUUUUAGUAGAGAUGGGGGUCUCUCCAUGUUGGUCAGGCUGGUCUUGAACUCCCAACCUCAGGUGAUCCGCCCACCUUGGCCUCCCAAAGUGCUUGGAUUACAGGCGUAAGCCACCAUGCCUGGCCCACCUCAUCUAUUUUCAGAGGCUGAGAUUUAUUGCCGCUAACUUCAGGGUUCCACCCAAGCCAUUCCUACACUUAUUCCACUGUCCCCACUGGCCUCUCCUUAAACACCCCCUCCUGUUAGGACUCCUGCUUGCUCCUUAUCUUGCUAUCUCUACAGAGGUCUUGGUUCUGAGGCUGGAAACAGAAGGGCCUCUGGAGUGAAUAACACAUGGUUCUGUGGGCUUUGAGUGUCACGCAGAGGCAUCAUCUUAAAAGACAAUCUCGGCCAGGCGAGGUGGCUCAUACCUGUAAUCCCAGCACUUUGGGAGGCCGAGGUGGGUGGAUAACCUUAGGUCAGGAAUUCGAGACCAGCCUGGCCAACAUGGUGAAACCCCGUCUCUACUAAAAAUACAAAAAUUAGCUGGGUGUGGUGGUGCAUGCCUGUAAUCUCAGCUACUGGGGAGGCUGAGGCAGGAGAGUCGCUUGAACCUGGGAGGUGGAGGUUGCAGUGAGCUGAGAACGCACCACUGCAUUCCAGCCUGGGCGACAGAGUGAGACUCCAUCUCAAAAAUAAUAAAUAAAUAAAUAAAUAAAUAAAUAAAUAAAUAAAUAAAUAAAUAAAAUAAGUGUUUGGAUCAUGAACACUUAUGUGGUUCAUAAAAGUGAUUGAGUUUUCAUGUUCAUGUGUUGAAUGUGCCUCCCUCAAACCUUGUUAAGUCAUCAGCACAUUACCCAUUUGAUGUGAACUUAGAAAAAAAUAAAAGAGGGCCAGAUAACAGUGGCUCACACCUGUAAUCCCAGCACUUUGGGAGGCCAAGGUGGGUGGAUCACUUAAGGUCAGGAGUUUGAGACCAGCCUGGCCAACAUGAUGAAACUCCGUCUCUACUAAAUAAACAAAAAUUAGCUGGGCAUGGUGGUACAUGCCUGUAAUCCCAGCUACUCAGGAGGCUGAGGCAGGAGAAUCACUUGAAUCCAGGAGGUGGAAGUUACAGUGAGCUGAGUUGUCACCGCUGCAAUCCAGCCUGGAUGACAGAGUGAGACUCUGUCUCAACAAAAAAAAAAAAAAAAAGAAAAUGUUUUUAUUUAAAGAAAGACAUUUACUCAGGUGUUGCAUAGCUCUAGCAAAAAUGAGGAAGAUGGUUCCACAAACCACCUUGGCUUGAGGAAUAGGAUUUGAUGCUUCUGGCUCCUCCCAACUCUGAUGUUCUCCAGUCUACGAUGGACCAUGGCGUCUGACUGUCUAGAAAAAUCCAUGAUGAAGGAAAGUUGGGUAGUGUACAAGAAAGCAAGCCUGCUUGAAGGCAUGCAUUGAAUUACACAGGUUGGGUCCCAAUCCACAGAAAGCCUUUUGCCUUUGAAAGUGUUACCAGGCGGAGCACUGGGGCUCACGCCUGUAAUCCCAAUACUUUGGGAGACCAAGGUGGGAGGAUUGCUUGAGUCUGGGAGUUUGAGACCAGCCUGGGCAGCGUAGGGAGAUCCUGUCUCUACAUAAAAUUUAAAAAUUAGCUGGGCAGGCUGGGCGCGGUAGCUCACGCCUGUAAUCCCAGCACUUUGGGAGGCCGAGGUGGGCGGAUCACCUGAGGU
rnacentral:lncRNA from 1 species